ensembl:lncRNA
ACGAAAGUUGUUCAGCACAAUGCGAUCUAUAUGUGUGCUGAGUUUCAUAUGAAUACGUGCAAGUAUGUUUGAACUAUACAUCAACAUUUCUGACUGUGUUCCAGGGGCGCCGUAGAGCCCCUGUGCCACGCCCGGGUCUCAGCCACUGCAGCCUCCUAAUGGCCACAGAUUCUAAGGUGUGUGCAAAUUUUCAUGAGUUUUUGAGUAUGUUAAGGGGCCCAAAAGCCCCCACAACUUUGACGAAAAAUAAGAAUACUAAACCCUAAAUAGCCAACUUCCUGUUGGGCGGAGCCUAUGACAUGCAGUACGAAAGUUGUUUGGCUUGAUGAGAUCUAUAUGUGUACCGAGUUUCAUACGUCUACGUGCAAGUAUGUAUGAUAUAUGGCCCUCCAUAUUCCAGGGGGCGCUGUAGAGCCCCUGUGCCACGCCCGUGUAUCAGUCUCUGCCCGGCCCUAAUGGCCGCAGGUUCCAAUGUGUGUGCCAAUUUUCAAGAGUUUUCGAGUAUGUUAAGGGCCCCAAAAGCCCCCGAGACGUUGGAAAAAAAUAAUAAAUAUAGCUGCAAGCAGCGAUGGCGGGCUCAAGCCAUCAGCGCAAACGCCAACCCGGUGGCAUCAGGUAAACUGUGCCCAGCGGGCACAUGCAUUUACAGUAACCCUCUGGCAGUCAGGUUUUAAGGGAUACGGCAAUUAACGGGUUAAUCCGAAGCAUCAAGACUUUGAAAUCACAUACACAGAACAAUAUUCAUUAAGAAAGUGAAAUUAAAUGAUUAAUAAACUAUUUAUUCGAACCCUCGCUAUUUUCUAUUCUAAUAAAAGUUUUGGCUGUGGAACAUCUGUAAUAGAGUUGGCUAGCUGGAUGCAAAUAAAGUCAUGCCUUUUAUUUUUUCCCCUGUUUGCUAUUUCACAUUCCUGUCACUGAAGCGUUGUGGGCAAAGACACAGAAGGCAACUG